rnacentral:tRNA from 1 species
AUUACUUUAGCAUAUAAUUGUGUAUUAAAUUUAGAAUUUAAAGGUUUGUAUUUUAAAUAUGAAAGUAAUA